GCAAGUCGAGCGGAAACGAUCUAGCUUGCUAGAGGCGUCGAGCGGCGGACGGGUGAGUAAGGCGUAGGAAUCUACCCAGUGGUUGGGGAUAGCCCGGAGAAAUCCGGAUUAAUACCGAAUAAUCUCUACGGAGGAAAGUGUGCUUCGGCUCACGCUACAGGAUGAGCCUGCGUUGGAUUAGCUAGUUGGUGAGGUAAAGGCUCACCAAGGCGACGAUCCAUAGCUGGUCUGAGAGGAUGACC
rnacentral:rRNA from 1 species